rnacentral:rRNA from 1 species
AUUGAACGCUGGCGGCAGGCCUAACACAUGCAAGUCGAGCGGAUGAAGGGAGCUUGCUCCUGGAUUCAGCGGCGGACGGGUGAGUAAUGCCUAGGAAUCUGCCUGGUAGUGGGGGAUAACGUCCGGAAACGGGCGCUAAUACCGCAUACGUCCUGAGGGGGAAAGUGGGGGAUCUUCGGACCUCACGCUAUCAGAUGAGCCUAGGUCGGAUUAGCUAGUUGGUGGGGUAAAGGCCUACCAAGGCGACGAUCCGUAACUGGUCUGAGAGGAUGAUCAGUCACACUAGAACUGAGACACGGUCCAGACUGCUACGGGAGGCAGCAGUGGGGAAUAUUGGACAAUGGGCGAAAGCCUGAUCCAGCCAUGCCGCGUGUGUGAAGAAGGUCUUCGGAUUGUAAAGCACUUUAAGUUGGGAGGAAGGGCAGUAAGUUAAUACCUUGCUGUUUUGACGUUACCAACAGAAUAAGCACCGGCUAACUUCGUG